GCUAUCCUCCCACCUCAGCCUACUGAGUCACCGGGAUUACAGACACGGUGUUCCUUCCCUUGAGGAUUCAGCAACAAGGCACCAUCUUGGAAACAGAGCAGUCCUCACCAGACAACUGAACCUGCUGGCACCUUGAUUUUGGACUCCCAGCUUCUAGAACUGUGAGAAAUACUUUUCUCUGUUUUAUUAAGCACCCAGUCACAUGUAUUCUGUUAUAGCAGCACAAACGAACUAAGACAAUCUGCCUUCAGCUUUAGGACAUUUGCUUCUGUUAAUUAUCUGACCACUUCACCUUUUCCAUUUUUUCUGUUCCUUCCUUGGAACUCCUAUUAAGAGGAUUUUGGAGCUUCUGGAUUCAUUCUCCGUGAAUAUUAAAAUUUUCUCUUACUUUUCUCUCUACUUUCUCCUCCUGCAUCCUUGGAGAAUUUUACAGUUUAACUGUUCAACCUACUAACUUGUUUUUAAGGUGUGUCUAAUCUAUUUAGCUAAUCUCUUGGGUUUUAUUUUGAUCAUUUUUAAUUUUCAUGUUCUAUAAUUGGAUCUGAUUCUUAAAAUGUGUUCUUGUUUUAUAGAUAUGUCAUCCUUUCUUAUUCCUCCUUUUACCCAUGGCUUUCAUGAAUACAUCCAGGUUCUAUUGUGGGUGUUGCCAUUAUAUUUAAAAAACAAAAUGAACUGGAGUUCCCUCAUUGGGAUCAGCACCACCCAGGUCUUACUUUUCAGGGAUCUGAUUUCAGCAUAAUGAAAUGUGGUUUUUUUUUUUCAGCUUUCUUCUUUGCAAGGUUCUGCUGGAAUCUUGGCUCCCGGGUCUGCCUUCUAGGCUUGACUUAAUUUUGCCAAAUGUACAGAAAUUAGUUUUCAAGGUUGUCACACUUAAAUCCCUCAAAUGAUGAAUUAAUUCCACAAGUGGUGACUGGUUAGUUAUCCCUAGGUAUGGACCUCAUUGGGCCCAGGCCCUGAACCAGAGAAACCUUCACCAGACAAUGGGCUGCUGUGGUGGAGCUGCACCUGCUCACCCGCACACUUAAACCCCAUGGCUGCUGAAGAGCAAAAAAUGCCAAGAUGAGAAAACACCUGACUGCACCAUCCCUACAAAGACAGAAAGAAACUUUUGGCCGCCAAGAGGGGGAAUAAAAAGGGGACAUAUUUUGUAUAGAAAUACAUAUAAGAAGUCUGUGUGACUUUAGUGAGUCUGGAUUUAUCCAAUCCUGAAAUACUAAAAAACAUCGCUUGAAGUUGAAAAAAACUUUUGGCCUUAUAGGACAAUUCAACAGAGAAAUUACUUUGUAUAACAGCAUUAAACAUCAUCCCAAAGGAA